ACGACUCUCGGCAACGGAUAUCUCGGCUCUCGCAUCGAUGAAGAACGUAGAGAAAUGCGAUACCUGGUGUGAAUUGCAGAAUCCCGCGAACCAUCGAGUCUUUGAAUGCAAGUUGCGCCCGAGGCCACCCGGUCGAGGGCACGUCUGCCUGGGCGUCACGC
rnacentral:rRNA from 1 species